GAUGAACGCUGGCGGCGUGCUUAACACAUGCAAGUCGAACGGAAAGGCCCAAGCUUGCUUGGGCACUCGAGUGGCGAACGGGUGAGUAACACGUGGGGGAAAUGCCCUUAACUUCGGGAUAAGCCUGGGGAACUGGGGCUAAUAUCGGAUAGGAUCACAUGUAGGACGGUGUGGAGGAAAGUUGUUCGGUGUGGGAUGAGCUUGCGGCCUAUCAGCUUGUUGGUGGGGUAAUGGCCUACCAAGGCGUCGACGGGGAGCCGGCCUGAGAGGGUGUACGGCCGCAUUGGGACCGAGGUGCGGCCCAGAUUCCUACGCGGGGCCGAUGUGGGGAAUAUUGCAGGAGGGGCGCAGGCCUGAUGCAGCAAGGCUGCGUGGGGGAUGACGGUCUUCUGGGUGUAGACUCCUUUCGCAAGUGACGAAGCGUUAUGUGACGGUACCUAGACAGGAAGCACCGGCUAACUACGUG
rnacentral:rRNA from 1 species